rnacentral:lncRNA from 1 species
ACAGGGAGGUGGACCUGUACACAGGCUAUACCACGCGGAACAUUCUGUGUAUGCCCAUAGUGAGCCGCGGCAGCGUGAUCGGUGUGGUGCAAAUGGUUAACAAGAUCAGCGGCAGCGCCUUCUCCAAGACGGAUGAGAACAACUUCAAGAUGUUUGCUGUCUUCUGCGCUCUGGCCCUGCACUGCGCUAACGUAAGCGUGCCUCUGGACUCAAGUGACUUUGAGCUCAAGCUAUUUUUAUUCUUCUUUUCCUUUCUAUCUCCUCUGUGAACUACGCGCAGGGCAUCCUUGCCUGUGCCUACUUUAGGAAGUGUCUUACAGUGCCUGUGAAGAAAGCUGACCCCCGAGAGAGUUUGAGUGUAGUUCAGGGUGUGAGUUUGUUCCGAAAGAAUUGUUUGUGUACUGGCUUAAUGG